AUUGAACGCUGGCGGCAGGCCUAACACAUGCAAGUCGAGCGGUUGACGGGAGCUUGCUCCCUGAUUCAGCGGCGGACGGGUGAGUAAUGCCUAGGAAUCUGCCUAUUAGUGGGGGACAACGUUUCGAAAGGAACGCUAAUACCGCAUACGUACUACGGGAGAAAGCAGGGGACCUUCGGGCCUUGCGCUAAUAGUUGAGCCUAGGUCGGAUUAGCUAGUUGGUGAGGUAAUGGAUCACCAAGGCGACGAUCCGUAACUGGUCUGAGAGGAUGAUCAGUCACACUGGAACUGAGACACGGUCCAGACUCCUACGGGAGGCAGCAGUGGGGAAUAUUGGACAAUGGGCGAAAGCCUGAUCCAGCCAUGCCGCGUGUGUGAAGAAGGUCUUCGGAUUGUAAAGCACUUUAAGUUGGGAGGAAGGGUUGUAGAUUAAUACUCUGCAAUUUUGACGUUACCGACAGAAUAAGCACCGGCUAACUCUGUGCCAGCCGCCGCCGUAACAC
rnacentral:rRNA from 1 species